GCCGAAGUGGCGGAACUGGCAGACGCGCAUGAUUCAGGGUCAUGUGGGGGCAACCUCGUCGGGGUUCAAAUCCCCGCUUCGGCA
rnacentral:tRNA from 1 species